GGACAAAGUGACAGGUGGUGCAUGGUUGUCGUCAGCUCGUGUCGUGAGAUGUUGGGUUAAGUCCCGCAACGAGCGCAACCCUUAAGCUUAGUUGCCAGCAUUAAGUUGGGCACUCUAAGUUGACUGCCGGUGACAAACCGGAGGAAGGUGGGGAUGACGUCAAAUCAUCAUGCCCCUUAUGAUUUGGGCUACACACGUGCUACAAUGGACAAUACAAAGGGCAGCUAAACCGCGAGGUCAUGCAAAUCCCAUAAAGUUGUUCUCAGUUCGGAUUGUAGUCUGCAACUCGACUACAUGAAGCUGGAAUCGCUAGUAAUCGUAGAUCAGCAUGUUACGGUGAAUACGUUCCCGGGUCUUGUACACACCGCCCGUCACACCACGAGAGUCUGUAACACCCGAAGCCGGUGGAGUAACCAUUUAUGGAGCUAGCCGUCGAAGGUGGGACAAAUGAUUGGGGUGAAGUCGUAACAAGGUAGCCGUAUCGGAAGGUGCGGCUGGAUCACCUC
rnacentral:rRNA from 1 species